rnacentral:rRNA from 1 species
GAUGAACGCUGGCGGCGUGCCUAAUACAUGCAAGUCGAGCGAACAGACGAGGAGCUUGCUCCUCUGACGUUAGCGGCGGACGGGUGAGUAACACGUGGAUAACCUACCUAUAAGACUGGGAUAACUUCGGGAAACCGGAGCUAAUACCGGAUAAUAUAUUGAACCGCAUGGUUCAAUAGUGAAAGACGGUUUUGCUGUCACUUAUAGAUGGAUCCGCGCCGCAUUAGCUAGUUGGUAAGGUAACGGCUUACCAAGGCAACGAUGCGUAGCCGACCUGAGAGGGUGAUCGGCCACACUGGAACUGAGACACCGUCCCGACUCCUACGGGAGGCAGCAGUAGGGAAUCUUCCGCAAUGGGCGAAAGCCUGACGGAGCAACGCCGCGUGAGUGAUGAAGGUCUUCGGAUCGUAAAACUCUGUUAUUAGGGAAGAACAAAUGUGUAAGUAACUAUGCACGUCUUGACGGUACCUAAUCAGAAAGCCACGGCUAACUACGU